ensembl:lncRNA
CUCAUCAGUCACUGAAUCUGUCAGCCUUGAUCCUGGACGUCUGGGGCUGUGAAACCUCACUUCUGCCGCUUCUGCUGCUUCCAAACCAUCUAAUCUGUGGUUUUUGUGAGAACAGCACAAACGGGAUAAAGCUCCCCAUCAUGGAACAGCCAUUGCUCCAAGCUCCACAAAACCACUCGAAAACUCUUUAAAACGCACCGCCUCCUCCACUGGUGAAUUAUAUUUGAACUUCACAACACAUUUUCUUUUUGAUUAGAAACAUGGAUUUUUGAAACAAACUUAAUUAAAGAGCUGAAUAAUCUGAUCACAACCCCCGGGAAGAAAGAAGGGAAACACGUUUAGGAAGAUUGUUUUGAACAAGAGGACUUGGCUCUCCUUAGGCAUAUUUCCUUUCACUUCACCACAAAAAGUUUCAGCUAUUUCAGCCAUGUUUCUGAGACUAUGGAGGAAUAGACUUCAGCAUAAUAACAAGAAAGCAUUCAACACAUUAUACAAAACUGGAACCAGUGCCUCUCCUAGACUGUGGGUUCUCUCUCAGUGAUAACCACUU